GGCUGUUCCAAUUACAGUGGUGUUUAUAACUAAUUGAUCACAACCAGUUAGAGAUUUCUCUGUUCCUUCUCCAUUCCCACUGCUUCACUUGGCUCUUCUUAA
rnacentral:Y_RNA from 1 species